rnacentral:rRNA from 1 species
AUUGAACGCUGGCGGCAUGCUUUACACAUGCAAGUCGAACGGUAACAGGCCGCAAGGUGCUGACGAGUGGCGAACGGGUGAGUAAUGCAUCGGAACGUGCCCAGUCGUGGGGGAUAACGCAGCGAAAGCUGCGCUAAUACCGCAUACGAUCUAUGGAUGAAAGCGGGGGACCGAAAGGCCUCGCGCGAUUGGAGCGGCCGAUGUCAGAUUAGGUAGUUGGUGGGGUAAAGGCCCACCAAGCCAACGAUCUGUAGCUGGUCUGAGAGGACGACCAGCCACACUGGGACUGAGACACGGCCCAGACUCCUACGGGAGGCAGCAGUGGGGAAUUUUGGACAAUGGGCGCAAGCCUGAUCCAGCAAUGCCGCGUGCAGGAAGAAGGCCUUCGGGUUGUAAGCUGCUUUUGUACGGAACGAAACGGUCCGGGUUAAUACCCUGGGCUAAUGACGGUACCGUAAGAAUAAGCACCGGCUAACUACGUGCCAGCCGCCGCAGUAACAC